UUUGACACGAUGUGCCCUUGCAGUUAAUUGAAAACUUAGAAUUGAUUACCAGGGUGUGGAGAUCUGCUUGGAAAGACCUUGGAGGAGGGAAACAAUGCAUAAUCUUCGGCGACGAUUUUAAAGCUGCUAAAGAACAUGACAUAAAGCAAUUGAUAUUCUUGGUGAUGAUCUGGAUAAGAGUUCAAUUGAAGCAUGCUCUUCUGUUGGCCAUUUGCUUAAUGAGGUCUUUGAGAUGAUA